AGAGUUUGAUCCUGGCUCAGGACGAACGCUGGCGGCGUGCUUAACACAUGCAAGUCGAGCGGUAAGGCCCUUUCGGGGGUACACGAGCGGCGAACGGGUGAGUAACACGUGGGUGACCUGCCCUCCACUCUGGGAUAAGCCCGGGAAACUGGGUCUAAUACCGGAUAGGACCUCUGGAUGCAUGUCUGGUGGUGGAAAGUUUUUUCGGUGGGGGAUGGGCCCGCGGCCUAUCAGCUUGUUGGUGGGGUGAUGGCCUACCAAGGCGGUGACGGGUAGCCGGCCUGAGAGGGCGACCGGCCACACUGGGACUGAGACACGGCCCAGACUCCUACGGGAGGCAGCAGUGGGGAAUAUUGCGCAAUGGGCGGAAGCCUGACGCAGCGACGCCGCGUGGGGGAUGACGGCCUUCGGGUUGUAAACCUCUUUCGCCAGGGACGAAGCUUUUGUGACGGUACCUGGAUAAGAAGCACCGGCCAACUACGUGCCAGCAGCCGCGGUAACACGUAGGGUGCGAGCGUUGUCCGGAAUUAUUGGGCGUAAAGAGCUCGUAGGCGGUGUGUCGCGUCGGCCGUGAAAACUUGGGGCUUAACUCUGAGCGUGCGGUCGAUACGGGCAUCACUUGAGUUCGGCAGGGGAGACUGGAAUUCCUGGUGUAGCGGUGAAAUGCGCAGAUAUCAGGAGGAACACCGGUGGCGAAGGCGGGUCUCUGGGCCGAUACUGACGCUGAGGAGCGAAAGCGUGGGGAGCGAACAGGAUUAGAUACCCUGGUAGUCCACGCCGUAAACGUUGGGCGCUAGGUGUGGGGACCAUUCCACGGUUUCUGUGCCGCAGCUAACGCAUUAAGCGCCCGCCUGGGGAGUACGGCCGCAAGCUAAAACUCAAAGGAAUUGACGG
rnacentral:rRNA from 1 species